rnacentral:rRNA from 1 species
GGGUUGUGAGGUUAAGCGACUAAGCGUACACGGUGGAUGCCCUGGCAGUCAGAGGCGAUGAAGGGCGUGCUAAUCUGCGAUAAGCGCCGGUAAGGUGAUAUGAACCGUUAUAACCGGCGAUACCCGAAUGGGGAAACCCAGUGUGAUUCGUCACACUAUCAUUAACUGAAUCCAUAGGUUAAUGAGGCGAACCGGGGGAACUGAAACAUCUAAGUACCCCGAGGAAAAGAAAUCAACCGAGAUUCCCCCAGUAGCGGCGAGCGAACGGGGAGGAGCCCAGAGCCUGAAUCAGCAUGUGUGUUAGUGGAAGCGUCUGGAAAGGCGCGCGAUACAGGGUGACAGCCCCGUACACAAAAGCGCAUGUGCUGUGAGCUCGAUGAGUAGGGCGGGACACGUGGUAUCCUGUCUGAAUAUGGGGGGACCAUCCUCCAAGGCUAAAUACUCCUGACUGACCGAUAGUGAACCAGUACCGUGAGGGAAAGGCGAAAAGAACCCCGGCGAGGGGAGUGAAAAAGAACCUGAAACCGUGUACGUACAAGCAGUGGGAGCCCCACCACUAAGCCAGUGGUGAACUCCACAUCCGCAUCCUUUGCUGAGGAUACGGUUAACGGAGCGAAAGCGACGUUCAACCGCAAAACAAGCAGAGGGGGCUUAGUGGUGGGGUGACUGCGUACCUUUUGUAUAAUGGGUCAGCGACUUAUAUUCUGUAGCAAGGUUAACCGAAUAGGGGAGCCGGAGGGAAACCGAGUCUUAAUUGGGCGUUAAGUUGCAGGGUAUAGACCCGAAACCCGGUGAUCUAGCCAUGGGCAGGUUGAAGGUUGGGUAACACUAACUGGAGGACCGAACCGACUAAUGUUGAAAAAUUAGCGGAUGACCUGUGGCUGGGGGUGAAAGGCCAAUCAAACCGGGAGAUAGCUGGUUCUCCCCGAAAGCUAUUUAGGUAGCGCCUCGUGAAUUCAUCUCCGGGGGUAGAGCACUGUUUCGGCUAGGGGGCCAUCCCGGCUUACCAACCCGAUGCAAACUGCGAAUACCGGAGAAUGUUAUCACGGGAGACACACGGCGGGUGCUAACGUCCGUCGUGAAGAGGGAAACAACCCAGACCGCCAGCUAAGGUCCCAAAGUCAUGGUUAAGUGGGAAACGAUGUGGGAAGGCCCAGACAGCCAGGAUGUUGGCUUAGAAGCAGCCAUCAUUUAAAGAAAGCGUAAUAGCUCACUGGUCGAGUCGGCCUGCGCGGAAGAUGUAACGGGGCUAAACCAUGCACCGAAGCUGCGGCAGCGAACGUAUCACUUAAAGCGAUUCAGCGGGUUACGAUUGACGGAGCGAAGCGACGUCAAAGCGUAUACAAAGUCGAGUCGGUUUAAGGAUACGUUCGUUGGGUAGGGGAGCGUUCUGUAAGCCCGUGAAGGUGGCCUGUGAGGGUUGCUGGAGGUAUCAGAAGUGCGAAUGCUGACAUAAGUAACGAUAAAGCGGGUGAAAAGCCCGCUCGCCGGAAGACCAAGGGUUCCUGUCCAACGUUAAUCGGGGCAGGGUGAGUCGACCCCUAAGGCGAGGCCGAAAGGCGUAGUCGAUGGGAAACGGGUUAAUAUUCCCGUACUUGGUGUUACUGCGAAGGGGGGACGGAGAAGGCUAUGUUGGCCGGGCGACGGUUGUCCCGGUUUAAGCGUGUAGGUGUGUGUUCCAGGUAAAUCCGGUUCACUUUAACACUGAGGCGUGACGACGAGGCACUACGGUGCUGAAGCAACAAAUGCCCUGCUUCCAGGAAAAGCCUCUAAGCAUCAGGUAACACGAAAUCGUACCCCAAACCGACACAGGUGGUCAGGUAGAGAAUACCAAGGCGCUUGAGAGAACUCGGGUGAAGGAACUAGGCAAAAUGGUGCCGUAACUUCGGGAGAAGGCACGCUGACACGUAGGUGAAGUGAUUUACUCAUGGAGCUGAAGUCAGUCGAAGAUACCAGCUGGCUGCAACUGUUUAUUAAAAACACAGCACUGUGCAAACACGAAAGUGGACGUAUACGGUGUGACGCCUGCCCGGUGCCGGAAGGUUAAUUGAUGGGGUCAGCGUAAGCGAAGCUCCUGAUCGAAGCCCCGGUAAACGGCGGCCGUAACUAUAACGGUCCUAAGGUAGCGAAAUUCCUUGUCGGGUAAGUUCCGACCUGCACGAAUGGCGUAAUGAUGGCCAGGCUGUCUCCACCCGAGACUCAGUGAAAUUGAACUCGCUGUGAAGAUGCAGUGUACCCGCGGCAAGACGGAAAGACCCCGUGAACCUUUACUAUAGCUUGACACUGAACAUUGAGCCUUGAUGUGUAGGAUAGGUGGGAGGCUUUGAAGUGUGGACGCCAGUCUGCAUGGAGCCGACCUUGAAAUACCACCCUUUAAUGUUUGAUGUUCUAACGUGGACCCGUAAUCCGGGUUGCGGACAGUGUCUGGUGGGUAGUUUGACUGGGGCGGUCUCCUCCUAAAGAGUAACGGAGGAGCACGAAGGUUGGCUAAUCCUGGUCGGACAUCAGGAGGUUAGUGCAAUGGCAUAAGCCAGCUUGACUGCGAGCGUGACGGCGCGAGCAGGUGCGAAAGCAGGUCAUAGUGAUCCGGUGGUUCUGAAUGGAAGGGCCAUCGCUCAACGGAUAAAAGGUACUCCGGGGAUAACAGGCUGAUACCGCCCAAGAGUUCAUAUCGACGGCGGUGUUUGGCACCUCGAUGUCGGCUCAUCACAUCCUGGGGCUGAAGUAGGUCCCAAGGGUAUGGCUGUUCGCCAUUUAAAGUGGUACGCGAGCUGGGUUUAGAACGUCGUGAGACAGUUCGGUCCCUAUCUGCCGUGGGCGCUGGAGAACUGAGGGGGGCUGCUCCUAGUACGAGAGGACCGGAGUGGACGCAUCACUGGUGUUCGGGUUGUCAUGCCAAUGGCACUGCCCGGUAGCUAAAUGCGGAAGAGAUAAGUGCUGAAAGCAUCUAAGCACGAAACUUGCCCCGAGAUGAGUUCUCCCUGAGACUUAGAGUCUCCUGAAGGAACGUUGAAGACGACGACGUUGAUAGGCCGGGUGUGUAAGCGCAGCGAUGCGUUGAGCUAACCGGUACUAAUGAACCGUGAGGCUUAACCUUACAACGCCGAAG